rnacentral:rRNA from 1 species
GAGUUUGAUCCUGGCUCAGAACGAACGCUGGCGGCAGGCUUAACACAUGCAAGUCGUACGAGAACGUCUCGCUUCGGCGAGGCUAGUAAAGUGGCGCACGGGUGAGUAACGCGUGGGUAAUCUACCCUUGGGUACGGAUAACGUCUCGAAAGGGCGCUAAUACCGUAUAAGACCACAGCAACCCCGGUUGCAGAGGUAAAAGCGGGCCUCUACAUGUAAGCUCGCGCCUGAGGAUGAGCCCGCGUCCCAUUAGCUUGUUGGUGAGGUGACGGCUCACCAAGGCCGCGAUGGGUAGCUGGUCUGAGAGGAUGAUCAGCCACACUGGGACUGGAACACGGCCCAGACUCCUACGGGAGGCAGCAGUGAGGAAUCUUGCGCAAUGGGGGAAACCCUGACGCAGCCAUGCCGCGUGGGUGAAGAAGGCCUUCGGUCGUAAGACCUCGUCAGGAGGGA